CACUCACAAAUAGACUAAAAAUACACAUGAAAGGGAUUUUCCAUUCCCGAUCUGCUUUCACUGUGGGCAUCUGACUUUUUUUCCAUGAUGGAGGGUCAAAGGUAGUGAUGACGUGUUGAACUUAUGUGGCUGCUAAAGUUAAGGAGAUACCAGAAAAAUGAGACAACAGAGGAGGGAACACAAAAAGGAUUUCUAGGCUUCAGGGCAUAACUAAAAUAAGCAGUCUGGUCACCGGGGUGAGAAUCAGGUAGGCAUGUAGGUGUGUACAGUCCCUUUUGAUAGUAAGGCCAUUGCUCUUUGCUUUGGAUGGAAUUAUUGCCUAGAAUUUAUGGGAGUUUAGAGGGGCUUUCCUUCUUGGAAACGAACCUUCAUCUAAUGUUUCCCACAUGUCAAAGGUGUGUAUACUAGCCUGGGAUUAGAUUCA
rnacentral:lncRNA from 1 species